rnacentral:sRNA from 1 species
CGCCCGUCAAACCACGAAAGUGAGCAAUACCCAAAGCCGGUGGCCUAACCGAAAGGAGGGAGCCGUCUAAGGUAGGGUUCAUGGUUGGGGUUAAGUCGUAACAAGGUAUCCCUACGGGAACGUGGGGAUGGAUCACCUCCUUUCUAAGGAGAAAGGCAUAUAAAGAAAUAUGCAUAAUCCAUUGUUCAUCAUAUUCAGUUUUGAGAGACUCUUAAAAAUGUUUCUCAAAUUCAUCAAGCAUAAUGGGCCUGUAGCUCAGUUGGUUAGAGCACACGCUUGAUAAGCGUGGGGUCGAUGGUUCAAGUCCAUUCAGGCCCACCAUUAUGGGGCUUUAGCUCAGCUGGGAGAGCGCCUGCUUUGCACGCAGGAGGUCAGCGGUUCGAUCCCGCUAAGCUCCACCAAGUGAGAGCUUAAAUCUCAUGAGAUCUUUGAAAAGUAGAUAAAUGAUGUAAAGGAAAAAAUAAGGUUAAGGAAGAAAGGGCACACAGUGGAUGCCUUGGCACCAAGAGGCGAAGAAGGACGGAACUAACACCGAAAUGCUUCGGGGAGCUGUAAGUAAGCGACGAUCCGGAGAUGUCCGAAUGGGGAAACCCAACAUGUGGAAGACAUGUUAUCACUUAGCAAUAAGUGAGGCGAGACGUAGGGAACUGAAAUAUCUCAUGUACCUACAGGAAAAGAAAGUAAUAACGAUUCCGUUAGUAGUGACGAGCGAACGCGGAGGAGCCAGAUACCUAAGGUUACAAAACAUUACGAUAGAUGAACGACAUGGGAAGGUCGAGCAUAGAGGGUGAUACUCCCGUAAUCGAAAUCGUGAUGUCCGUGGUAUCAACAAGUAGGGCGGGACACGUGGAAUCCCGUUUGAAGAUAGGAGGACCAUCUCCUAAGGCUAAAUACUCCUUGGUGACCGAUAGUGAACCA